GACAGAGGAGCCAAGCGUUGUCCGGAUUGACUGGGCGUAAAGCGCACGCAGGCGGAUGCGCGCGUGGGGUGUGAAAUCUGGCCGCUUAACGGCCAGGCGCCAUCCCAUACGGCGCGUCUGGAGUGAUGCAGAGGUCGAUGGAAUUGCCGGUGUAGUGGUGAAAUGCGUAGAUAUCGGGAGGAACACCAGUGGCGAAGGCGACUACCUGGCCUGUUCUUGACGCUGAGGCGCGAAAGCUAGGGGAGCAAACGGG
rnacentral:rRNA from 1 species